rnacentral:rRNA from 1 species
CGGCGAGUGAAGCGGGAUGAGCUCAAAUUUGUAAUCUGGCGGCCUCUGGUCGUCCGAGUUGUAGUCUGGAGAAGCGUUUUCCGCGUCGGACCGUGUACAAGUCCCUUGGAACAGGGCGUCGUAGAGGGUGAGAAUCCCGUCUUUGACACGGACUGCCGAUGCUAUGUGAUGCGCUCUCGAAGAGUCGAGUUGUUUGGGAAUGCAGCUCAAAACGGGUGGUAAAUUCCAUCUAAAGCUAAAUAUUGGCGAAAGACCGAUAGCGAACAAGUACCGUGAGGGAAAGAUGAAAAGCACUUUGGAAAGAGAGUUAAACAGUACGUGAAAUUGUUGAAAGGGAAACGCUUGAAGUCAGUCGCGUCUCUUGGGACUCAGCCUUGCUUUUGCUUGGUGUACUUCCUGAGGUGACGGGCCAGCAUCGAUUUUGAUCGUCGGAGAAAGGCUUUGGGAAUGUGGCACCCUCGGGUGUGUUAUAGCCCUAGGUCGUAUGCGGCGGUUGGGAUCGAGGACCGCAGCACGCCUUCAUUGGCCGGGGUUCGCCCACGUAACGUGCUUAGGAUGCUGGCGUAAUGGCUUUAAGCGACCCGUCUUGAAACACGGACCAAGGAGUCUAACAUGCCCGCGAGUGUUUGGGUGGAAAACCCGGACGCGUAAUGAAAGUGAAAGGUUGGGACCUCUGUCGCGGAGGGCACCGACGCCCGGACCAGAGCUUCUGUGACGGUUCCGAGGUAGAGCGUGUAUGCUGGGACCCGAAAGAUGGUGAACUAUGCCUGAGUAGGGUGAAGCCAGAGGAAACUCUGGUGGAGGCUCGUAGCGAUUCUGACGUGCAAAUCGAUCGUCGAACUUGGGUAUAGGGGGCGAAAGACUAAUCGAACCAUCUA